rnacentral:rRNA from 1 species
GACGAACGCUGGCGGCGUGCCUAAUACAUGCAAGUCGAACGCAGUGGGGACGGGUGAGUAACCCGUGGGUAACCUCCCAUCAGCGGUGAUAACACUUGGAAACAGGUGCUAAACCGCUACUGAUGGAUGGAUCCGCGGUGCAUGAGCUAGUUGGUGAGGUAACGGCUCACCAAGGCCCCGAUACAUAGCGGACCUGAGAGGGUGACCGGCAACACGGGGACUGGGACACGGCCCAGAUUCUUACGGGAGGCAGCAGUAGGGAAUCUUCGGAAAGGGAGGAAAGUCUGACCGAGCAACGCCGCGUGAGUGAAGAAGGUUUUCGGAUCGUAAAACUCUGUUGUUAGAGAAGCGGUAUCUAACCAGAAAGCCACGGCUAACUACGUGCCAGCAGCCGCGGUAAUAC